CCUAAUCCUAAACCUAAUCUCAAUCCGGAUAAUAACCUCAGUUCUAAUCCUAACCCCAAUCGCAAUCCUAAUCUUAACCCCACCUCAAUCCCUGAACCUUGACCCCGAUACCAACCUUAAUUGGAACUCAAGCCUCAAAUCUAACCUUAACCCUAACCCCCUUGGGACUUAAAAAGUGGAUAUCAGGAAUCCCACAAGUCUGAAACAAAAGUAUGAGAGCCCAAUUAUCCUCUUGGAGGAAAAGGUUACUCUUAUCUGUUCUUUUUUAGGGAUAAACCAUAACAUCUUUCUUUGGGGUAUAUCUCCCAAUUUCCUGUAGGACUAUGAUGUAUCAAUAGGAGAAAUAGAAUUAGAGAACAUGUGCCCGUGUAUUUGGUCCUCUUGAAGGGCAAUUUUCUCUUAAACCUAACCCGCCAGAGCCCUGUUCUCCUCCUCCUAAUUAGAUACUUUUACCCAGAGAAACUUGAAUCUCAUAUAUCAGGAGCACUUUUAUAUUAUAAUUGGAACCUUGUUAAUAUGUAAAUUAUUUUUGUUUUAUUAAAGUUGUCUUUUUCUUUUUUUCUUUUUUUGUCUUAUGUGUUUUGGCCCUGUUUUCUUUUGAUUCAUUUAUUUGGAAUUUCUUUAGAGGUCUUCUUGUAGUGGGGAACGAUGUCAUAACAAAACCACAUUUUCCCUUCGUGUAGAUUGGUUUAUACAAGGAAGGUGAAAAAACAAUGGGAAAUUUGUAGAAUUAAGGACAGGUGUGUUGGAGGGUAUAGGAUGGACAUAAUAGUCCACCAAUGGAAGGUCAGGCUUAGUAGCUUAAACCCCUCCCCUCACCCGUUCUCAUACUAUAUGGGCUGGCCUCUUCUCAUUUUCUGUCUAUUUCCUCUGAAGAAGCACGAAUUGUGCGAAACGUCAGGAAUUUUUUCUUCCAAAUUUUAAACAAUACUCCUUUUAUCUUUUUACCUUGAAACCAAAAAGGUUUUGAUAAUGUGAAUCAGAAGAGGAUUACUGUAUCUCACUAUUUUAAAAAGGACACCAUUUUUCCUACAAACAAAGAUAAGCACAUGGACCUUUGGAGACUUGGUGGAAGAGCUCUUUUCCGUGUGAGAUAUCCAUUUCUCUGGGUUGGUGAGUACUCCCAAAAUCACUGUGUGUACACAUGAAGAUUUGAACAUUUGGAGUGACUUGAAGUGGAACCACUAUCAGAAUUGAACCAUAAAGGAGUGAUCACUUUUGAAUGGAGUGUUUUUCUCCCACCUGAGUGGGGGGUUUUUUUUCUCACCUUUGUGUGUUUUUAUGGAGUGACACCUAACCUAAAGUGGUAAUUUCCUACGGAUCUGGGGUAACCACCAGUUGGCAACGGACAAUUUUUUGUUGUUGGAGUAAAUGAGUUUUGGGAGUUCCAGCAAGGGUUCCUGGUUUUGAACCUUUACCAUGGCAGUGCCACUACAUAACCGUUUCCAGGCUCUAGUUAGUUUAAAUGAUGAGGGGAUGGUAAGACAGGUGAACAAAUUGGCGGCCUUUAU